rnacentral:rRNA from 1 species
GAGGUGGUGCAUGGUUGUCGUCAGCUCGUGUCGUGAGAUGUUGGGUUAAGUCCCGCAACGAGCGCAACCCUCGACCUUAGUUGCCAGCAUUCAGUUGGGCGCUCUAAGGUGACUGCCGGCUAAAAGUCGGAGGAAGGUGGGGAUGACGUCAAAUCAUCAUGCCCCUUAUGACCUGGGCUACACACGUGCUACAAUGGGCGGUACAAAGGGUCGCGAACCCGCGAGGGGGAGCCAAUCCCAAAAAGCCGCUCUCAGUUCGGAUUGCAGGCUGCAACUCGCCUGCAUGAAGCCGGAAUCGCUAGUAAUCGCGGAUCAGCAUGCCGCGGUGAAUACGUUCCCGGGCCUU